rnacentral:rRNA from 1 species
AUGAUCAAUAAAUAUGAUCUUCAGGACAAUGAAUGGCUUGCUGGAUUAUAUGAUAAUAAAAAUCGAUGGGUGCCAGCAUAUGUAAAAGAUACAUUUUGGGCAGGAAUGUCUUCAACACAAAGGAGUGAGAGUAUGAAUUCUUUCUUUGAUGGCUAUGUCAAUGCUAGAACAACUUUGAAGCAAUUUGUGGAUCAAUAUGAAAAUGCAUUAAGAUACAAGGUAGAGAAAGAAAACAAAGCUGAUUCUAAGUCGUUCCAAGAGGAAAUUCCAUGCAUUACUCACUAUGACUUUGAAAAGCAAUUUCAAGCAGCAUAUACCAAUGCAAAGUUUCAAGAGUUUCAAGAGCAAUUAAGGGGUAAAAUCUAUUGCUAUCCAUCUCUGCUGAACAAACAAGGGUCACUUUUCUCAUUUGGAGUCAGUGAGGACCGCAAGAUUUUUUUUGAAGGGGAGGAUGGCGAGAUUAAAGAGAAAUGGAUUGCUUCAGAGUUCACGGUCUUGUUCAACCAAGAGGAAUGUGAUGUGCAGUGUAUUUGUAGACUUUUUGAAUUUCGAGGCAUCUUGUGUAGCCAUAUCAUUUCUGUGCUUGCUCUCAUGAAGAUUAGAGAUGUACCUUCUAGGUAUAUAUUGCAGCGAUGGAGAAAGGAUUUUAAGCGCAAACACACAUUUAUUAAAUGCUCCUAUGGUGAUAUGCUGAAUACACCAGUCGUGCAGCGUUAUGAUGAUUUGUGCAAGCGUUCCCGCGAAGUGGCAGAGAAAGGUGCAGAGUCUGAUACAUUGCGUGACUUGGUGAUGGAUGGCCUUGAUGAGUUAGAAAGAAAGAUUGAGGCAUAUUGUGCCAGCCAAGAUGUUCAGGAAGAUGGUCCAACUUCAAAGCAAGAAGAUACAAUGCUAAAUAAAGAAAAACUUGUACUCAGUCCAAUCCCUGUUCGCAGUGAGCUACAAACAAAUGAACCUGCUACACCAACUCAUAUCAUGUCUUACAUUGAUAUUCUCCAGGGAAAGAAAGAUGUCAUGGACUUGCUCGCUGCUAAUCUGAAUGGAUGA